rnacentral:lncRNA from 1 species
GCCAGGCAGCAGGCAGCGAGGCAGGAAGCCCGGGCGGGGAUCCCGGCCGGUGCUGGCCAGGCCCCUGUGGGUUCCUUUUUUAAAACAGAUUUUAUGUUUUAGAGGAGUUUUAAGUUUACAGCGGAAUGGAGUGGAAACUACAAAGUGAUCCUGUGAAGGCCGCCGCCUCCCGCAAGUCCCAGGGCCCUCAUCACCAACGUCCGCACCAGAGCAGCCCGAUUGUCAUCGCCGUGGACCUGCACGGACACAUGGGGGCCACAGGCGGCCUCGAGGUGCGCAGUGAUCCACUCGCUCUACGGCUUUGGAUGAUCACCCAGCACGAUAGCAUCGAACUGCCGUAAAGAUCCUCCUGUCGUGCUUAGCCUGAGACAAAGUGGCUGUGUGGCUGGGCAUCGCCACCAACGCUGGAAGCUGUGCAGCUCCCGCACACCCUGCAAACACUGGAGACGGGAGCUGGCGCUGUACCUGCACCCCAUCUGCCCUGGUGGACCAGAAUCCCAUAACCUCGGAUAUGUAAUUUUCAUUUUUCAUUAAGUUGAAAUAAAUGCACUAGUUAAAAUAAGUUAA